GACGAACGCUGGCGGCGUGCUUAACACAUGCAAGUCGAACGGAAAGGCUCUGCUUUUGUGGGGUGCUCGAGUGGCGAACGGGUGAGUAACACGUGAGUAACCUGCCCUUGACUUUGGGAUAACUUCAGGAAACUGGGGCUAAUACCGGAUAGGAGCUCCUGCUGCAUGGUGGGGGUUGGAAAGUUUCGGCGGUUGGGGAUGGACUCGCGGCUUAUCAGCUUGUUGGUGGGGUAGUGGCUUACCAAGGCUUUGACGGGUAGCCGGCCUGAGAGGGUGACCGGCCACAUUGGGACUGAGAUACGGCCCAGACUCCUACGGAAGGCAGCAGUGGGGAAUAUUGCACAAUGGGCGGAAGCCUGAUGCAGCAACGCCGCGUGCGGGAUGACGGCCUUCGGGUUGUAAACCGCUUUCGCCUGUGACGAAGCGUGAGUGACGGUAAUGGGUAAAGAAGCACCGGCUAACUACGUG
rnacentral:rRNA from 1 species